UAAUACAAUUGGUUAAACAAAAUAUAUUACUAAAAUUAAUUUUGCUUGUUUCUUUUUUACUUUUUUAACCCAGAUACUAGAAAAAGUUAAAUUACUUUGUGUGUCUCACAUAUCUCCAUUGGUCAGCACUGUUUUGGAACAUUCCCAAGAACCAAAAACUCCAAGACUUGAAUGAGACAAUUUCUAGCAACAACCAUGUUUUAUUCUAGGGUUGGUUAUUUACUCCCAUGAGAGCUUUUCAGUAGUUUGUUAGCUCACCCACAGAGCCUCUGUAGGAAGUUCCAUGUUAUCUGUUCUAGCCAGAACAUUAGUAAGUUCCAUGAGAACAGGGACUUGGUUGUGUUCACGGCCACACUCCAAAUGCCUAGAAUGAUGCCCGGCACAUAGUUGAUGCUCAGUAAACAAUUGUUGAUGGCGUUAAUGAGUGAGCACCAUGUUGUGUCAAUAUAGAAAGCUCUGCAUCAUUUGGGCCAUAUUUAUUGAAAUUCUGUGCGGUUAUUUCCCAGGAUAAGGAACAAGAAUCCUAAUAAUAGAACCUGAAGAGCUAUUGAAAGGGUCAGUGGACAAAGAGGAAACUUUGCUUUGUUAGAAAUAUCAAAUAGCUUGUAGCAGGGACCUUUCUCCUAAACUCUCUUGACAGUUUGUGUCAACAGAAGAGUGACUAGAGAAAUCAGGAUGCUGCUUUAUUUUUUUAAGUACCAUUUUAAAAUACAAGCACUUGGAUAUGUUUCACAUUUUGUCCAUGUGGCAGAUCUACAUAAUUCACAAUGAUGUCUCGGGAAGAUGCCAAGUGAAGCAUCCGGUGGCCCAGCCUGGGCCCAGACACAGAAAAUAGUUGCUGGAAAUUUCUGCCAUUCUUAAACAAAGCAUCUUUGUGCUGUAUCAGCUUGCAUUUUCCUUGGAUUGUAUUUGGAUGAUGCCUUUUCACUGACUUCAGCACUGGAGUAUUGUAGCCAUGGCUUUAGUAAGUAGACUGUAACAAACAGAUUCACUGGCCCUUUUUGUGUUGCAUCCUAUUAAUCUGCUGCUGGGAAAUGCUGCUCAGCAUAAGGCACAAGAGCAAUUGCAAACAGAAGAAAAACCUGAUGAGGAAAUAUUGCAUCAUAGUUGCUGCUAGAGAAAGCCAUUAACAGUUAGUUACUAUUAGAAAAGAAUGUUCCGCCUACAGUAAUCCU
rnacentral:lncRNA from 1 species